CCCUGGCUCAGGAUGAACGCUGGCGGCGUGCUUAACACAUGCAAGUCGAACGAUGAUCCCAGCUUGCUGGGGGAUUAGUGGCGAACGGGUGAGUAACACGUGAGUAACCUGCCCUUAACUCUGGGAUAAGCCUGGGAAACUGGGUCUAAUACCGGAUAUGACUCCUCAUCGCAUGGUGGGGGGUGGAAAGCUUUAUUGUGGUUUUGGAUGGACUCGCGGCCUAUCAGCUUGUUGGUGAGUAAUGGCUCACCAAGGCGACGACGGGUAGCCGGCCUGAGAGGGUGACCGGCCACACUGGGACUGAGACACGGCCCAGACUCCUACGGGAGGCAGCAGUGGGGAAUAUUGCACAAUGGGCGAAAGCCUGAUGCAGCGACGCCGCGUGAGGGAUGACGGCCUUCGGGUUGUAAACCUCUUUCAGUAGGGAAGAAGCGAAAGUGACGGUACCUGCAGAAGAAGCGCCG
rnacentral:rRNA from 1 species